rnacentral:rRNA from 1 species
UACGUAGGGGGCGAGCGUUGUCCGGAUUUAUUGGGCGUAAAGAGCGUGUAGGCGGCCAGGUAGGUCUGCUGUGAAAACUCGAGGCUCAACCUCGAGACGUCGGCGGAAACCAUCUGGCUAGAGUCCGGAAGAGGAGAGUGGAAUUCCUGGUGUAGCGGUGAAAUGCGCAGAUAUCAGGAAGAACACCCGUGGCGAAGGCGGCUCUCUGGGGACGGUACUGACGCUGAGACGCGAAAGCGUGGGGAGCAAACAGG